CCCCUCGUGGCGCAAUUGGCUAGCGCGUUAGACUGUUACAUACUCUGGAGGCUGAUGGUUUGACACCGUCCGAGGGAA